rnacentral:rRNA from 1 species
CCAAUAGCGUAUAUUAAAGUUGCUGCAGUUAAAAAGCUCGUAGUUGAAUUUCGGGACCAUCAUGUCGGUCGUGCCUCGGUACGUACUGGUAUUGUUGGUUUCUCCCUUCUGACGAACCAUGAUGUCAUUUAUUUGGUGUUGUGGGGAAUCAGGACUGUUACUUUGAAAAAAUUAGAGUGUUUAAAGCAGGCUCACGCUUGAAUACAUUAGCAUGGAAUAAUGAAAUAGGACGUUUGAUUCUAUUUUGUUGGUUUCUAGGACCGACGUAAUGAUUAAUAGGGAUAGUUGGGGGCAUUAGUAUUCAAUUGUCAGAGGUGAAAUUCUUGGAUUUAUUGAAGACUAACUACUGCGAAAGCAUUUGCCAAGGAUGUUUUCAUUAAUCAAGAACGAAAGUUAGGGGAUCGAAGACGAUCAGAUACCGUCGUAGUCUUAACCAUAAACUAUGCCGACUAGGGAUCGGAUGAUGUUAAUUUUUUAAUGACUCAUUCGGCGCCUUACG